AACUUUUGACAAUGGAUCUCUUGGUUCUGGCAUCGAUGAAAAACGCAGCAAAAUGCGAUAAGUAAUGUGAAUUGCAGAAUUCAGUGAAUCAUCGAAUCUUUGAACGCACAUUGCGCCCGCCAGUAUUCUGGCGGGCAUGCCUGUUCGAGCGUCAUUUCAACCCUCAAGCCCAGCUUGGUGUUGGGACUCGUGAGUCAAAUCGCGUUCCCCAAAUUGAUUGGCGGUCACGUCGAGCUUCCAUAGCGUAGUAGUAAAACCCUCGUUACUGGUAAUCGUCGCGGCCACGCCGUUAAACCCCAACUUCUGAAUGUUGACCUCGGAUCAGGUAGGAAUACCCGCUGAACUUAAGCAUAUCAAUAAGCGGAG
rnacentral:misc_RNA from 1 species